CAUCCUCCAAGGCUAAAUACUCCUGACUGACCGAUAGUGAACCAGUACCGUGAGGGAAAGGCGAAAAGAACCCCGGCGAGGGGAGUGAAAAAGAACCUGAAACCGUGUACGUACAAGCAGUGGGAGCACAGGUUUACCUGUGUGACUGCGUACCUUUUGUAUAAUGGGUCAGCGACUUAUAUUCUGUAGCAAGGUUAACCGAAUAGGGGAGCCGGAGGGAAACCGAGUCUUAAUUGGGCGUUAAGUUGCAGGGUAUAGACCCGAAACCCGGUGAUCUAGCCAUGGGCAGGUUGAAGGUUGGGUAACACUAACUGGAGGACCGAACCGACUAAUGUUGAAAAAUUAGCGGAUGACCUGUGGCUGGGGGUGAAAGGCCAAUCAAACCGGGAGAUAGCUGGUUCUCCCCGAAAGCUAUUUAGGUAGCGCCUCGUGAAUUCAUCUCCGGGGGUAGAGCACUGUUUCGGCUAGGGGGCCAUCCCGGCUUACCAACCCGAUGCAAACUGCGAAUACCGGAGAAUGUUAUCACGGGAGACACACGGCGGGUGCUAACGUCCGUCGUGAAGAGGGAAACAACCCAGACCGCCAGCUAAGGUCCCAAAGUCAUGGUUAAGUGGGAAACGAUGUGGGAAGGCCCAGACAGCCAGGAUGUUGGCUUAGAAGCAGCCAUCAUUUAAAGAAAGCGUAAUAGCUCACUGGUCGAGUCGGCCUGCGCGGAAGAUGUAACGGGGCUAAACCAUGCACCGAAGCUGCGGCAGCGAACGUAUCACUUAAAGCGAUUCAGCGGGUUACGAUUGACGGAGCGAAGCGACGUCAAAGCGUAUACAAAGUCGAGUCGGUUUAAGGAUACGUUCGUUGGGUAGGGGAGCGUUCUGUAAGCCUGUGAAGGUGGCCUGUGAGGGUUGCUGGAGGUAUCAGAAGUGCGAAUGCUGACAUAAGUAACGAUAAAGCGGGUGAAAAGCCCGCUCGCCGGAAGACCAAGGGUUCCUGUCCAACGUUAAUCGGGGCAGGGUGAGUCGACCCCUAAGGCGAGGCCGAAAGGCGUAGUCGAUGGGAAACGGGUUAAUAUUCCCGUACUUGGUGUUACUGCGAAGGGGGGACGGAGAAGGCUAUGUUGGCCGGGCGACGGUUGUCCCGGUUUAAGCGUGUAGGUGUGUGUUCCAGGUAAAUCCGGUUCACUUUAACACUGAGGCGUGAUGACGAGGCACUACGGUGCUGAAGUAACAAAUGCCCUGCUUCCAGGAAAAGCCUCUAAGCAUCAGGUAACAUCAAAUCGUACCCCAAACCGACACAGGUGGUCAGGUAGAGAAUACCAAGGCGCUUGAGAGAACUCGGGUGAAGGAACUAGGCAAAAUGGUGCCGUAACUUCGGGAGAAGGCACGCUGACAC
rnacentral:rRNA from 1 species